GAUGAAGAACGUAGCGAAAUGCGAUACGUAGUGUGAAUUGCAGAAUUCAGUGAAUCAUCGAAUCUUUGAACGCACAUUGCGCCCUUUGGUAUUCCAAAGGGCAUGCCUGUUCGAGCGUCAUUUGUACCCUCAAGCUUUGCUUGGUGUUGGGCGUCUUGUCUCCAGUCCGCUGGAGACUCGCCUUAAAGUCAUUGGCAGCCGGCCUACUGGUUUCGGAGCGCAGCACAAGUCGCACUCCUUUCCAGCCAAGGUCAGCGUCCAACAAGCCUUUUUUCAACUUUUGACCUCGGAUCAGGUAGGGAUACCCGCUGAACUUAAGCAUAUCAAUAAGCGGAGGA
rnacentral:misc_RNA from 1 species